rnacentral:ncRNA from 1 species
AAAUAAAAACAUUGGGUUGGUGCCCUGGCAGGCAGUUUUGAACCGGCUUGUCAGAGCCUAAUAGAGAAGCCGGUGUGAAUCCGGCGCGGUCCCGCCGCUGUAACCGGGGACGAAAACCGCAGGCGUUUUUUUAAAGGACGCAAGUCACUGUGCCGGACAGGCAUGGGAAGGCGCGGUUAUUAGAUUGAUCCGGGAGCCAGAAGAACUGCCAACCCAGGGAACCGGUA